AAGACUCCGCCCGGACUCCUACGGGAGCCGGACCUCGUUCCCGACUCCGGCUGCGGGCGGACUUCGCGCGGACUCCUACGGGAGCUGGGCUCCGCCCAUGACUUCACCUACAGGUAAACUUUGUUCAGACUCUUACGGGAGCCAGACUUCACUCAUAACCCCAAUUGCAGGAGGACUUCACCCGGGCUCCUACUGGAGCCAGAUUUCAUCUCCGACCCCAGCAACGGGAAGACUCCGCCCAGACUUCAUCCCCGACCUCGACUACUGGAAGGCUUCGCCCAGACUCCUAUGGGAGCUGGGCUCCGUCCUCGACCCCGACUGCUGGAGUUGGGCUUCGCCCCUGACUUUGAUUGCAGGUGGACUUCGCCUGGGCUCCUACGGGAGCCAGAUCUCAUCUCCAGCUCCAGCUGCGGGAAGACUCCGCCUGGGCUCCUACGAGAGCCAGACCUCGUUCCCGACUCCGACUGCGGACGGACGUCGCCCGGACUCCUAUGGGAGCCGGGCUUUGCCCACAACUUCACUUACAGGUAAACUUCGUCCGGACUCCUACGGGAGCCGGACUUCACUCACAACUCCAAUUGCAGGAGGACUUCGCCCGGGCUCCUAUGGGAGCCAGAUUUCGUCUCUGACUCCAGCUGCGGGAAGACUCCGCC
rnacentral:lncRNA from 1 species